GAUGAACGCUGGCGGCGUGCCUAAUACAUGCAAGUCGAGCGAACAGACGAGGAGCUUGCUCCUCUGACGUUAGCGGCGGACGGGUGAGUAACACGUGGAUAACCUACCUAUAAGACUGGGAUAACUUCGGGAAACCGGAGCUAAUACCGGAUAAUAUAUUGAACCGCAUGGUUCAAUAGUGAAAGACGGUUUUGCUGUCACUUAUAGAUGGAUCCGCGCCGCAUUAGCUAGUUGGUAAGGUAACGGCUUACCAAGGCAACGAUGCGUAGCCGACCUGAGAGGGUGAUCGGCCACACUGGAAGUGAGACACGGUCCAGACUCCUACGGGAGGAAGCAGUAGGGAAUCUUCCGCAAUGGGCGAAAGCCUGACGGAGAAACGACGCGUGAGUGAUGAAGGUCUUCGGAUCGUAAAACUCUGUUAUUAGGGAAGAACAAAUGUGUAAGUAACUAUGCACGUCUUGACGGUACCUAAUCAGAAAGCCACGGCUAACUACGUG
rnacentral:rRNA from 1 species